UGACCUUGAGUUAGUACAAACUGAUGGUUUUUAUCAAUAAUAUUCUGUUUUUACCUACAAGUCUCUGGAGAGAAAGAAAGUAUCCUACAAAUUCCUUGGGGAUUAUAAACUCACCACCAAAGUUUCAGCUGUCCCCUUGCUUGCUGUCCAUCUUCAGUGAUGACCAGACUUUCCCAAUAUGGCAGACAAGAGAAUUUUCCCAUUCUAGAGCCAAGAAUCUUGGAUUUUCGAGGUGUGUAGACCAUAUCAAGGGUCAUGCUGGUCAACUUUAUAUCGCUCUGACCAAAAUAUCUGACAAAAACAACUUGGAAGAGGAAAAGUUUAUUUUGGUUCAUAGUUUCAGAGGUCUCAGUACUUGGUAAGUAGACUCCUUUGCUCUGGGCCCAAGAUGAGGCAGAGUAUCAUGGCAGAAUGGCCUGGUGGAGGAAAGUGUCUUAGCUUGUUGUUGU
rnacentral:lncRNA from 1 species